UCUAAUAUGGCAGAAAAAUGCAUUGGAUUUAAACCCCAUUUAUAAAGAAAUUCUUUUUUUAGAA
rnacentral:tRNA from 1 species